UGCCCGAUAGUGUAAUUGGCAACACGACAGAUUCUGACUCUGUUAUUCUAGGUUCAAGUCCUAGUCGGGCAGCUA
rnacentral:tRNA from 1 species